ensembl:lncRNA LINC00658 long intergenic non-protein coding RNA 658
GGUGUGAAUUCCGAGGCUAGGUCACAAAAGGCAUUGUAUCUUCCACCUCUUAGAUCUCUCUCUCUGCGGAAGCCAGCCACCGCUCUCCAAGGACUCUCGAGCAGCUCCAUCUACAGAUUCACAUGGAGAAGAAUUAAGGGUUCCUGCCAAUCACCAGCACCACUUUGCCAGCCUUGUAAGUGGGCCACCUUGGAAUUGGAGCCUCCAGUUCCUACUGACAUCUGACUGCAACAUCAUGAGAGACCCUGAGUUUGAACCACCCAGCUGAGCUGCUUCUGAGCUAACCCACUGAAACCGUUCCUUAGAUCCUGGGAUGAGGAGGUGGACCAGCAGAAGGUGGGCUUGUGAAGGCAGCCCGGGGUCCAAAUCCUCCUGGCUCUUCAGCUUAGCGGGUUAGUUAACAUUCAGAAGCCUUCAUCUCCCAUCUGCAAAAUGGGCAUGUCCAACUCAGAAGCUGCCUUGAAGAAAGGGUCUACCCAGCAUGGUGCGUGGAGCCUAAGCAGUCAGUACUUCAGGACUUCACCCGGCCCCUUUCCAAUAACUGCUGCUGUCGCCCUCACAGGAUGUCACCUUCAGCGUCUGAAAGCUGGGUUUGAUGCGUCUGGAAAGGCGUCCCUGACAGGCGUCGUUGCCAGGAGCCCCUAGUGCCACCAGCAGCCAGCAGGGGAGGGCGUCCUCUGCCCGCUCACUUCUGACCCUUCUCUCGUUGCACCCGGAACAUGGUGCAGCUGGGAGCAGCCUGGGCUGCGCGGAAGGCUCAGAUUUGGGGACGGCCCUUGCCAGUGACUGUGAGCUGGGGUGUCUUGGAAACUCCCAGUCUCAGCUUCUCCAUUUAUAAGAUGAGAAUGAUCAUACCAGACUCAGGCAAGGUUGUUUGUGCAUUAGUGAAAUCAGACGUAUUAAAUAAAGU